UACGGAGGGUGCGAGCGUUGUCCGGAAUCACUGGGCGUAAAGGGCGCGUAGGCGGCGCGGGGAGUCAUCGGUGAAAGUUCAGGGCUCAACUCUGAAUCGGCCGGUGAUACUCCCGUGCUCGAGCACUGUAGAGGCAGGUGGAAUUCCGGGUGUAGCGGUGGAAUGCGUAGAGAUCGGGAGGAACAUCAGUUGCGAAGGCGGCUCUCUGGACCAGCACUGACACUGAGGCACGAAAGCGUGGGGAGCAAACAGG
rnacentral:rRNA from 1 species